GCCAGGCAUGGUCGUGUGCGCCUAUAAUCCCAGCUAUCAGGAGGCUGAGGCUGGAGGAUUGCUUGAGCCCAGGAGGUCAAGGCUGCAGUGAGCUAUGAUCACACCACUGCACUCCAGCCUGGGCGACAAAGUGAGACCCUGUCUCUG
rnacentral:SRP_RNA from 1 species